UACGGGGGGAGCAAGCGUUGUUCGGAUUUACUGGGCGUAAAGGGCGCGUAGGCGGCCACCGCAAGUCGACUGUGAAAUCUCCGGGCUUAACCCGGAAAGGUCAGCCGAUACCGCGGGGCUAGAGUGCAGAAGGGGCAACUGGAAUUCUCGGUGUAGCGGUGAAAUGCGUAGAUAUCGAGAGGAACACCUGCGGCGAAGGCGGGUUGCUGGGCUGACACUGACGCUGAGGCGCGAAAGCUAGGGGAGCGAACGGG
rnacentral:rRNA from 1 species